ACAUGUCUACAUCAUAGAAUUAAUGCGCCAUAUCCCAUUAUAACUUUGUAGUUAAGCAUGCUCAGGAUAGAGUAGUACUCGGAUGGGUGACCACCCUGGAAGUCCUAGUGUUUUACCUGCC
rnacentral:rRNA from 1 species